rnacentral:lncRNA from 1 species
AAAGGAGGGCUCCCAUUUGAGCUGAAGACAGACGCUGGACUUUGGCAGAAUUCUAAAGGGACCUUGUAGGAAGUGCCAAAACCUACAAGGACAAAGGGAGAGGCAUUGCUACCACCAGCAGUAACAACCUCAUCAUCAUCAACGUCAUCGUCAUCAAUCAAUCAGCUUCAUUACUCAGGAGUCUCUCUGAGUCAGAAGCAGACUUUAGGCAUCAAGUUGUUGUAGAACAAUAUCCUCCUCGGACUACCUGGAGAAGACCCUCAAGAUGAGGCCUGCUGAUGUUUCCUCAUAAAAAGGGAGGCUAAGGAAGGGGCAUUAGGUCCCUCACUGUCGAAUUCAGCCACUCCUUCUUAUGUGUCCCACCUGGCUGUGUGCAGUUCUGCCCCAGCUGUACUGGAUCUCAAGGUUUCGGGAGGGGAUAGUGUGCAGAGAGUGUGUGCGGAGGUUCGCUGAAGAGGAGCUUCCAUUUCUGCAGCUAAGGAGAAGUUGUCACCCAUGCUGGAUAAGAUUCGUCACUGCUACUUCUGCUUUGGGGGUCACCCAUUCUCCUGGAAGUAAACCUUCACUUCUGCCCUUUAAGUAGGCCAUAUAAUAACCUUGCUGGCUUGCCAAGAUGGUUUGCCAAGUGAUGGUUACACUCUGGUCUGUUGUCAGUGCCUUCUGCGGGGAAGGGAGAUGUUUGUUCACAUUUUCUUAGAAAAAAAAUUAAUAAUCUG